GACGAACGCUGGCGGCGUGCCUAAUACAUGCAAGUCGAGCGGACCAAAGGGAGCUUGCUCCUGGAGGUUAGCGGCGAACGGGUGAGUAACACGUGGGCAACCUGCCUGUAAGACUGGGAUAACAUCGAGAAAUCGGUGCUAAUACCGGAUAAUAAAAAGAACUGCAUGGUUCUUUUUUGAAAGAUGGUUUCGGCUAUCACUUACAGAUGGGCCCGCGGCGCAUUAGCUAGUUGGUGAGGUAACGGCUCACCAAGGCAACGAUGCGUAGCCGACCUGAGAGGGUGAUCGGCCACACUGGGACUGAGACACGGCCCAGACUCCUACGGGAGGCAGCAGUAGGGAAUCUUCCGCAAUGGACGAAAGUCUGACGGAGCAACGCCGCGUGAGUGAUGAAGGUUUUCGGAUCGUAAAACUCUGUUGUUAGGGAAGAACAAGUGCCGUUCGAAAGGCGGCACCUUGACGGUACCUAACGNGAAAGCCACGGCUAACUACGUGCCAGCAGCCGCGGUAAA
rnacentral:rRNA from 1 species